AGAGUUUGAUCCUGGCUCAGAACGAACGCUGGCGGCAGGCCUAACACAUGCAAGUCGAACGCCCCGCAAGGGGAGUGGCAGACGGGUGAGUAACACGUGGGAACAUGCCCUUUGGUCUGGAAUAACUCAGGGAAACUUGAGCUAAUACCGGAUAAGUCCGCAAGGAGAAAGAUUUAUCGCCGAAGGAUUGGCCCGCGUCU
rnacentral:rRNA from 1 species